rnacentral:rRNA from 1 species
GAUAACGUAGGGAAACUUACGCUAAUACCGCAUACGACCUACGGGUGAAAGCAGGGGACCUUUUAGGCCUUGCGCGAUUGAAUGAGCCGAUGUCCGAUUAGCUAGUUGGCGGGGUAAUGGCCCACCAAGGCGACGAUCGGUAGCUGGUCUGAGAGGAUGAUCUGCCACACUGGAACUGAGACACGGUCCAGACUCCUACGGGAGGCAGCAGUGGGGAAUAUUGGACAAUGGGCGCAAGCCUGAUCCAGCCAUACCGCGUGGGUGAAGAAGGCCUUCGGGUUGUAAAGCCCUUUUGUUGGGAAAGAAAAGCAGCCGGCUAAUACCCGGUUGUUCUGACGGUACCCAAAGAAUAAGCACCGGCUAACUUCGUGCCAGCAGCCGCGGUAAUACGAAGGGUGCAAGCGUUACUCGGAAUUACUGGGCGUAAAGCGUGCGUAGGUGGUUGUUUAAGUCUGUCGUGAAAGCCCUGGGCUCAACCUGGGAACUGCGAUGGAAACUGGGCGACUAGAGUGUGGUAGAGGGUAGCGGAAUUCCUGGUGUAGCAGUGAAAUGCGUAGAUAUCAGGAGGAACAUCCAUGGCGAAGGCAGCUACCUGGGCCAACACUGACACUGAGGCACGAAAGCGUGGGGAGCAAACAGGAUUAGAUACCCUGGUAGUCCACGCCCUAAACGAUGCGAACUGGAUGUUGGGUGCACUUUGGCACGCAGUAUCGAAGCUAACGCGUUAAGUUCGCCGCCUGGGGAGUACGGUCGCAAGACUGAAACUCAAAUGAAUUGACGG